UCAGCCCGGUCUGUUAGAGAUGCUCAUAGCGAUAUAUUGUGCGUGUAAAAUAAAUUUCAGAAGACAGGAAGCAUUUUAUUGAACACACUCAGUGCACAUUUAUGGUGGUCUACAUUUUUUCUUGUUUGCUUAUGACUUGCGAUAUUUGCAAUGUACAUUCAUGAAAUCUGGCUGUCGUCUGUACGUACAUAUCGAAUGAGCAGUUUUUGUACACUUUAGCUUGUCCCUAUCUAUGGGGAGCAGUCACCUUAAUUUCUUAAUGUGUUCGGCCCUUUUCAUUUAUUUUCUGAACUUAUGCGACCGGCGACUUACCUUUGCUGUACUAUUGGGUACUCCCUCUGUCUCAUUUUUUGCAUACAUGAUUUUUCGUGCCCAAUUUAGACCAUCCGUCUUAUUUAAUUUUUUUUAAAAAAGUUAAAACAUAAGUCACGUAUAAAGCACUAUUUAUGUUUUAUCAUCUCAUAAUUAUAAAAAUACUAAUUAUAAAAAAUUUAAAUAAGACAGACGAUCAAAAUUUUAGUAUAGAAACUAAUGGUUGCUUUUAAAAUAGGACGGAGGGAGUAUUGUUUAGUUCGUUUGAUUUACAUUUGUCUUGCCUAGCUUUUGGACAAGUAACUCUGUUUGUUUGAAUGAAGCUUCACAAGAAUGCAAAGAAGAUACUCCAUUUUGUAGUACAUCUAUAGCUCAUAGGCCCAGUUUAAUUCUUGACCUCAAAUUUUUCACGUUUAUUAUGCAAACGAACGACCUACAUUUUGCGUUAUGUGUUGGUGUGGGUUGUUCAUGGUCAUGUGCCCGUCAAAAUUCUUUAAGAUCACGUGGCGCCCCAAUCAAACAUAGAAAAAAAUUUGUUCAGGUCAAUCCCUCCUUUUUGUUAGAAUUUUGUUCAGGUCGAUCAAGGUCAAGUCCAUUCUUCAAUCGCACGACGGCAUCACCAAAAUUCAAUUUCUGGAAUAAGAACUCCGAAGUCUCCGAUCAUUUUAUGCACAAUUGGUGUGGAUCGACCAGGACCCGUUCAGAUCCACGAAAUUAGCAAGGAACCAAAUCUGGGACAGUGACCUUAAAUUGGGCCUCAUUUCUGCAUCAUAUAGCAGGCAUUAAAAGAGAAGCACACUUUGCAGACUUGCAGGGCUACAUGCUGCCUGUAUGCAUGGCGACAAGGAUGAAACAUUGAAUAUGCUUAGGGCUCCGACGACCUAGCGUACCCGAUGUCCCGAUGAAAAUGAUGCAAUUCUUUUUUCUGUAUACUGAUCCGUGAACUAUGGAAAUGUCACUUGUAAAUUGCUAUGGGUAGAAGCUUUCCUUGCCAAAAAGAUCAUUCUUUCUUUGUGAAAGCAACAGGGAAUCAGAUCGACGCCAUGAUGAAACAAAUGCAAAACAAGAAUUCCAGAUGCGGGCUGCACCGAUCAGAUUCUGCACGCCACAUGAUCCUCGGCUAAGUGAAAGGGGGAGAAGGAGAUGAAAGAGAUCAGUUGAAAACGAGUAGGAUCAUCAUCCCGAACGGGUGGAUGAAUGGGCUCUCAUCCUCUCACCGCGAUUGUGCGUCGUAACCGCUAUUAUCAGCAAGAGGUAUCGCCGCUUGCCGCGAAGUACAGCAACGUACAGUUACACCUCUUGUUGCUUCUUUCUCUUCGUUUUGUUCUGACGCCAAAAGGAAAUUAGGAAAUUCUGAAAGGGACAUGUGAGUUUGCUGUGUGACAAACUGACAAUAUGAGGUGCAGCUUUUCAGCGUGCUCUGGGCCUCUUAAACUAUGAAUUUCUGAGCACUGAAAUGAAGUGAGCAAUACAAACAGGAAACCAUGUGGUCCUUACGCCAGAAGGUGUCAAUUGUGAUAUGAUAUUCGUUGUUUCUUUGUAAAAUUGUGCUGUUAGCCUGUUGCUGUUACAGUGUGAUCAUUUUGCACUUCAAUCAGCUUGUUUUGGGAGUGUAGGGAGUACUGGUGAACUUCAUUUUUGCAAGUCUGUUGCUACUGACUUUCUGCCAGACCUUAUCCAAGAAUUACUAGCAGCCACACCAUCUUGAACCGCAGUGUUUGCAGCUUACUAUUUGUUCUUACAGGACAAGGUAUUUAGUUAUCUGAGAGGAAUAAAUAUUCAACAGUGAAGUAAGCGUCCUGAUUCUUGUUAAGUCCAGU